AUGCAGGGAGCAGAUGCUCCUGGCGAGGGCGUGAAGGCUGCUGCUGAGCCAGUGGGUGGGCUCAGGGGUGAAGGGGGCAGGCAGGGUGGCUUAGAGAGAGGAAGUGAUCAACGGAGAAGGGGCAAGAGCUGGUGGGGGAGGGGAGAUAUCAAUCACGCUCUGGGGAGGAGCCUCGGACCCGGAGCUGGGCUGCCCUGGGGUCCCAUCUCAGCCCCCAGGCCGGUCUCUUACUGUGAAAGCCUCAGUUUGCAGGCCUGUGAAAUGGGGGCUAUCGUGGGACUCAGCCAGUGUGUCCCCCCUCCCAGGAGAUGCUCUGAAGGUACCCAGAGCGACUCCACAGUGCAGGUGCUGCUGGCACCCUGCCGCCUGGGUAAGGAAGCCAAGGAGGCCCAGGGUAUAAGGUCACUCGAAAAGGUCACGUACGUGCGUGCACACACACACACACAGGACAUGGUGGGGCCUGAACUUGAGCCGUGGCCUGGCAGCCCCGGGACCACAGCUCCCCAUCACCCACACCCUGGGGAAAGGUACCUACAGCGCGAGGUCUCAGUGUCUAGUACUGAUAUGCACCUUCCGUGAUGGAAACCCACAGAGCAUCCCGCUCGGGUGAUGGCUUCGUACAUAUUGGCUAUUAUUGUUUUUGUCGUUAUGAUCAUAGACUCUGAUGGCCAGAAGCUGCCCCUUCAGCAGGGGCUGCAAGUGGAGCAAUUUCGCAGAGGCUGGGAGUCUAGAAGUGGUGUCGUCAAUGCCACAUAGAGGUCCAGGGACAUGCCUGACUGCUGGCCCUGCCACACGUGGGGACCCCUGACCCAAGGGACAGAGGAUACCUGCCUCCCCCAGUUUCUAGCCCGGGGCCUGUGGCCAUACACCCGAAGCCUGAGUCCAGGGCCCCAGGAGAGGCCUCUGUGUGCCCAGGAGGCUGAAGCCCGCCUCCCGGGGUCCCAGCCCUGCCCCUGCUGAGCCUCCAGGCCUCUGACGCCGGCCCCUCUUGUGUUUCCACGUAAAUGACCCGCCUCUGUCUCAGGGGUUCAGCUUCAGGUGAGCAGGGCGGUGAUGGAGUGAGGGAAACGGGCCAAGUGUGAG
ensembl:lncRNA